UACGUAGGGUGCGAGCGUUAAUCGGAAUUACUGGGCGUAAAGCGUGCGCAGGCGGUUUUGUAAGCCAGAUGUGAAAUCCCCGGGCUCAACCUGGGAAUGGCAUUUGGGACUGCAAGGCUGGAGUUUGGCAGAGGAGACUGGAAUUCCUGGUGUAGCAGUGAAAUGCGUAGAUAUCAGGAGGAAUACCGAUGGCGAAGGCAGGUCUCUGGGCUGAUAACUGACGCUCAUGCACGAAAGCGUGGGGAGCGAAACAAGGAUUGAUAA
rnacentral:rRNA from 1 species